rnacentral:rRNA from 1 species
GCGGCGUGCCUAAUACAUGCAAGUCGAGCGCAGGAAGCUAACCGAUCCCCUUCGGGGGUGACGUUAGUGGAAUGAGCGGCGGACGGGUGAGUAACACGUGGGCAACCUGCCUGUAAGACCGGAAUAACCCCGGGAAACCGGGGCUAAUGCCGGAUAAUCUCUUCUCUCUCAUGAGGAAAGAGUAAAAGAUGGCCUUUGGCUAUCACUUACAGAUGGGCCCGCGGCGCAUUAACUAGUUGGUGGGGUAACGGCUCACCAAGGCGACGAUGCGUAGCCGACCUGAGAGGGUGAUCGGCCACACUGGGACUGAGACACGGCCCAGACUCCUACGGGAGGCAGCAGUAGGGAAUCUUCCGCAAUGGACGAAAGUCUGACGGAGCAACGCCGCGUGAACUAUGAAGGUUUUCGGAUCGUAAAGUUCUGUUGUGAGGGAAGAACAAGUACCGUGCGAAUAGAGCGGUACCUUGACGGUACCUCACGAGAAAGCCCCGGCUAACUACGUGCCAGCAGCCGCGGUAAUACGUAGGGGGCAAGCGUUGUCCGGAAUUAUUGGGCGUAAAGCGCGCGCAGGCGGUUCCUUAAGUCUGAUGUGAAAGCCCACGGCUCAACCGUGGAGGGUCAUUGGAAACUGGGGAACUUGAGGACAGAAGAGGAGAGUGGAAUUCCACGUGUAGCGGUGAAAUGCGUAGAUAUGUGGAGGAACACCAGUGGCUAAGGCGACUCUCUGGUCUGUUUCUGACGCUGAGGUGCGAAAGCGUGGGUAGCAAACAGGGGUUAGAUACCUCUGGUAGUCCACGCCGUAAACG